GGAGAGGAUCAUAUAUCUGCUGUCCCGCUUGCGGGAGAGAGGAAAGUCCGAACACCAAAGGGCAGGAUACUUCUUAACUGGAAGUCCUUGUGAAGGGGAGCUAGCUCCACAGAAACAAACCGCCGAAAGGUAAGGGUGAAAUGGCAGAGUAAGAGCCUGCCAGAUUCUGACGUGAGUCAGAAUGCUCGGAAAGCCUUAUCCGGUGCAAUGCCAAAUAGGGAAGCAGUCUUCGGACCCGGAUUUGCCCGAUCCGGUUUGCUUUCGGGUAGGCAGCUUAAGCCGGCUUAAAUGUCCCGGUUGGGAAUAGCAAUAUUCGGCUUAGAGAAAUAGAUGUAUGAUCACUUGUUAGGUGAUUAACAGAAUUCGGCUUAUGACCGUCUCCGACA
rnacentral:RNase_P_RNA from 1 species